rnacentral:rRNA from 1 species
UACGGAAGGCAGCAGUGGGGAAUAUUGCACAAUGGGCGAAAGCCUGAUGCAGCUAUGCCGCGUGUAUGAAGAAGGCCUUAGGGUUGUAAAGUACUUUCAUCGGGGAGGAAAAAACAAAACUAAUAAUUUUAUUUCUUGACGUUACCCGAAAAAGAAGCACCGGCUAACUCCGUGCCAGCAGCUGCGGUAAUACGGAGGGUGCUAGCGUUAAUCAGAAUUACUGGGCGUAAAGAGCACGUAGGUGGUUUUUUUAAGUCAGAUGUGAAAUCCCUGGGCUUAACCUAGGAACUGCAUUUUGAAACUGAAAUACUAGAGUAUCGUAGAGGGAGGUAGAAUUCUAGGUGUAGCGGUGAAAUGCGUAGAUAUCUGGAGGAAUACCUGUGGCGAAAGCGGCCUCCUAAACGAAUACUGACACUGAGGUGCGAAAGCGUGGGGAGCAAACAGGGAUUAGAUACC